AUUGAACGCUGGCGGCAGGCCUAACACAUGCAAGUCGAGCGGAUCGCCGGACGGGGGCGUAAUGCCUAGGACUCUGCCUCGUCGUGGGGGAUAACGUCCGGAACCGGGAACUAAUACCGCAUCCUAUCAGCUUAGCCUAGGGCGGAUUAGCUAGUUGGUGGGGUAAAGGCCUACCAAGGCCACGAUCCGUAACUGGUCUGAGAGGAUGAUCAGUCACACUGGAACUGAGACACGGUCCAGACUCCUACGGGAGGCAGCAGUGGGGAAUAUUGGACAAUGGGCGAAAGCCUGAUGCAGCCAUGCCGCGUGUGUGAAGAAGGUCUUCGGAUUGUAAAGCACUUUAAGUUGGGAGGCGUUACCAACAGAAGAAGCACCGGCUAACUUCGUGCCAGCAGCCGCGGUAAUAC
rnacentral:rRNA from 1 species